CUGGUAAAGGCAGUAGGCCUUCACCGUGAUCUGCAGAAUGCUGAUAUAUUGAAUCUGAGAUCAUGGUGAAAGCUAUUUGCCUUGCACCA
rnacentral:pre_miRNA from 1 species